rnacentral:rRNA from 1 species
CCUACGGGGGGCAGCAGCCGAGAAUAUUCGACAAUGGACGAAAGUCUGAUCGAGCGAUACCGCGUGGUGGAUGAAGUGCUUCGGCACGUAAACAUCUUUUAUGAGGGAGGAAGUUAUUGACGUUACCUCAUGAAUAAGGGGCUCCUAACUCUGUGCCAGCAGGAGCGGUAAUACAGAGGCCCCAAGCAUUACCCGGAAUUACUGGGCGUAAAGGGUGCGUAGGUGGUCAUAUUAGUCGUCCGUUAAAACCCCGAGCUUAACUCGGGAUCUGCGGGCGAAACGGUAUGACUCGAGAGCGUGAGAGGUACAGGGAACUCUAGGUGUAGGGGUGAAAUCCGUUGAUAUCUAGGGGAACACCGAAAGCGAAGGCACUGUACUGGCGCGUUUCUGACACUGAUAGCACGAAAGCGUGGGUAGCGAACGGGAUUAGAUACCCCAGU